ACCUUCAAAAAAGCGUCAAAGCUUAGAUACACAUACCUUAAUUUAUUUAUCCAUAUUGAACCCUUUAAUUGUACUGAGAACUUCUAUACUAUAUAGAAUUUUUUAUGCUAAAACUAGUAACAAGAGAUACCCCUCUCCCUAGUGUAAAUGUAAGUCAGCAAGAACCCAUCACUGACAACUAACAGAUUUAAACAAAAGUAGUAACUCCACAAGAAAACCCCACUUUUUCUCCUGUUAACCUAACACAAGAACACUUCAAGAAAGAUUAAAAGAAAAAGAAGGAACUCGGCAAAACCUAGCCCCGCCUGUUUACCAAAAACAUCGCCUCUUGAUUACCUCUAUAAGAGGUCUUGCCUGCCCAGUGACUCUGUUCAACGGCCGCGGUACCCUAACCGUGCGAAGGUAGCGUAAUCACUUGUUUUCUAAAUAAAGACCAGUAUGAAAGGCGUCACGAGGGUUAAACUGUCUCCUCUUUCUAAUCAGUGAACCUAAUCUUCCCGUGAAGAAGCGGGAAUUACCCCAUAAGACGAGAAGACCCUGUGGAGCUUAAAACAUCAUAACACUGCUAACAAAUACCAAUAUUCAGAUACCCCCUCCCUCAAAGCACGAUGAUUAUAAGUUUUUGGUUGGGGUGACCGCGGAGAAAAAUUAAACCUCCACUAUGAAAAGAGCCCUCCUUAACAAUAAGCUACAACCUUAUGUAUCAACAAAUUGACAUUAUUGACCCAACAAAUUGAUCAACGAACCAAGUUACCCCAGGGAUAACAGCGCAAUCCACUUUGAGAGCUCUUAUCGACAAGUGGGCUUACGACCUCGAUGUUGGAUCGGGAUAUCCUAGUGGUGCAG
rnacentral:rRNA from 1 species